GAGUCUGCUGCUGAUGAGUGCUCUCGAGAAGAGCAUGAGGAAGAGGAUGACGGAGAGCAUGAUGAACUUGAUGGUAAAGCUGAGAGUGAAGGUGAGGCUGAGGGGACGAAUGAAGCACACUAUGCUGGAGGUGAUGGCAAUGUGUUGCAAAUGUCCGAUCGGGUUUUGCUUACUUCAAAGCCACUUACAAAAUAUGCGGCUUCACCUGUAUGUGAGGGAGUGGUGAAGUACCCGCGGGUAUUCUAUGGAAAUGAGACAUUCUAUGUGCUUUUUAGGCUACAGCAGAUUCUAUAUGAAAGGUUAUUAUCAGCAAAGAUGAAUUCAGCAUUGUCCGAGUCAAAAUGGAGAACUGGAAAAGAUACUGGUUCUAUUCCGUAUGACAGAUUCAUGAGUGCGCUGCAUAGUUUGCUAGAUGGUUCUGCAGAAAAUUCAAAAUUCGAGGAUGAUUGCCGAUCAAUCAUUGGAAAUCAGUCAUAUGUGCUAUUUACGUUGGACAAGUUGAUAUAUAAGCUGGUCAAACAGCUUCAAACAGUCUCGAGUGAUGAGCUGGACUGUAAGCUGCUUCAGUUAUAUGAAU
rnacentral:misc_RNA from 1 species